UACGAAGGGGGCUAGCGUUGCUCGGAAUCACUGGGCGUAAAGGGUGCGUAGGCGGGUGGACAAGUGGUGUAUGAAAUCGCCAGGCUAAACCUGGCGGGGUUAUGCCAGACUGUCCGUCUGGAGUGCGAGAGAGGGGCGUGGAAUUCCGGGUGUAGUGGUGAAAUGCGUAGAGAUCCGGAGGAACCCCAGAGGCGAAGGCGGCGCCCUGGCUCGCAACUGACGCUCAGACACGACAGCAUGGGGAGCGAACGGG
rnacentral:rRNA from 1 species